GACGAACGCUGGCGGCGUGCCUAACACAUGCAAGUCGUACGGGACCGGGGGCAACUCCGGUUCAGUGGCAGACGGGUGCGUAACACGUGAGGAACUUGUCCGGUGGCGGGGGAUAGCCGGCCCAACGGCCGGGUAAGUACCGCAUACGCUCGUUCGGGGGCGAUCCCUGGGCGAGGAAAGCAGCCGCAAGGUUGCGCCGACGGAGGGCCUCGCGACCUAUCAGCUUGUUGGCGGGGUAACGGCCCACCAAGGCGACGACGGGGUAGCUGGUCUGAGAGGAUGAUCAGCCACAUUGGGACUGAGACACGGCCCAGACUCCUACGGGAGGCAGCAGUGGGGAAUAUUGCGCAAUGGCCGCAAGGCUGACGCAGCGACGCCGCGUGUGGGAUGACGGUCUUCGGAUUGUAACCACNGUCGGGAGGAACGAAUACUCGGCUUCGAUAAGGA
rnacentral:rRNA from 1 species